CAGAUCCGGACUCCUCCUCCUCUCUCCUAUAUCUCAAUCCCAAUCCCGACUCCUCCUCUCUCUCGUUUCUCAGUCGCGAUCUCGAAUCUCUCUCAACGCAGCUUGUUUUCUCCUCUCUUUCGGUUGCUCUCCUCAAACUUCUGUAGUUUCUGAUUGGGAUUCAAGGAUGACAAAUAAAGGGAAACAAAUUGCAUCUCAGUCGAGAUCAUAUGUUGUGUGGAAUCGUGAUAUGGACUUAGCUUUAGCUAAUGUGUUGUACGAUCAAAUGAACCAAGGAUUAAAAGUUGAUGGUACUUGGAAGCCUCAAGUGUAUCAAGUUGCGGUUGAUGCACUAAAAUCAUUUAAUAGCAACUUGAACAAAGAUAAUGUGAAGAAUCGACUCAAAAUUUGGAAAACACAUUAUAAUGUUAUCUAUGACAUUAAAAAUAAAAGUGGUUUGACGUGGUGGGAUGAUGAGAAGAAAAUGGUGAUUAUACCCGCUAGUGAGCAAAAAGUAUGGAGCGACUAUGUUACGGCUAAUCCAGAUGCAAAAGGCUACUAGAAUUGUUUGAUUGAAAAUUGGGAUGACAUUAUGGUAUUAUGUGCAAAAGAUAGAGCCAAUGGUGAAGGUGCAGAAACCUUUGAAGAGGCUGCUAACGCAAUGCAACAUGAGGAAUUUGAAGCACAAUCUGAAACAAAUGAAGGUGGAAGCUCUUCAAAGAAACAUCUUCCUAGAGCAUCAACUAGUGGUGAGAUAAGUUCAAAGAAACAAAAAAAAGGGAUAAAAUGGCUGAUUCACUUGCAGUGAUGGCAGCUUCUAUGAGUGAGUAUUUUAAUGAGAGAAAGAAGGAACUAGUAAGAAAACCACCAAUCGGAGAGGAGAUUCAUCAAGUGGUCUCAAAAAUACCCAACUUAAGUCGCAUUCAAGUGUUCAAUGCAUUUGAGAAGAUAAUGGAUAGCAACCCGGAAAAGUUUUAUUUGUUGAAGUCACUUCCUGAUGAUGAAAAAAGAGUUUUUAUUCUCUUUAUUCUUAAGGAGUAGUUUCUAGUUGGAUAACAAGAACCCCCAAAUCUUUGAACCCAUUUGAGUAAUUCAAGCAAGGAGUGAUUGUCUCAUCUUGAAGGUUUUAGGCUUAUAUAGUGAUGUCAUAUGAAUUACUCUUUUGUUGCUGCGGAUAGGGUUUAUCAUAUAGUGAUGGCACUUCUGAAUUCUCAGUUGUAAUUUCUUUAUAUCGAGGAUAAUUCUCUUCUCACAUGCUAUUCAGUUUGCAACUCUUUGUAUUUUUUUCUUAUUAACAUUUCUCUUGGUAUAUCAAAGAUCAAAUUGACUAUGUAAUUGUCAGUUGUACCUGCAUUUGAGAAGAUAAUGGAAUUGUUACUUAUUUGCUCUGAA